rnacentral:rRNA from 1 species
AACGAACGCUGGCGGCAGGCUUAACACAUGCAAGUCGAGCGGGCCUUUCGGGGUCAGCGGCGGACGGGUUAGUAACGCGUGGGAACGUGCCCUUUGCUUCGGAAUAGCCCUGGGAAACUGGGGGUAAUACCGGAUGUGCCCUGAGGGGGAAAGAUUUAUCGGCAAGGGAUCGGCCCGCGUCUGAUUAGGUAGUUGGUGUGGUAACGGCGCACCAAGCCGACGAUCGGUAGCUGGUUUGAGAGGAUGAUCAGCAACACUGGGACUGAGACACGGCCCAGACUCCUACGGGAGGCAGCAGUGGGGAAUCUUAGACAAUGGGCGCAAGCCUGAUCUAGCCAUGCCGCGUGGGUGAUGAAGGCCUUAGGGUCAUAAAGCCCUUUCGCCGGGGAAGAUAAUGACGGUACCCACAGAAGAAGCCCCAGCUAACUUCGUGCCAGCCGCCGCAGUAAGAC